GACGAACGCUGGCGGCGUGCCUAAUACAUGCAAGUCGAACGCUUCUUUUUCCACCGGAGCUUGCUCCACCGGAAAAAGAGGAGUGGCGAACGGGUGAGUAACACGUGGGUAACCUGCCCAUCAGAAGGGGAUAACACUUGGAAACAGGUGCUAAUACCGUAUAACAAUCGAAACCGCAUGGUUUUGAUUUGAAAGGCGCUUUCGGGUGUCGCUGAUGGAUGGACCCGCGGUGCAUUAGCUAGUUGGUGAGGUAACGGCUCACCAAGGCGACGAUGCAUAGCCGACCUGAGAGGGUGAUCGGCCACAUUGGGACUGAGACACGGCCCAAACUCCUACGGGAGGCAGCAGUAGGGAAUCUUCGGCAAUGGACGAAAGUCUGACCGAGCAACGCCGCGUGAGUGAAGAAGGUUUUCGGAUCGUAAAACUCUGUUGUUAGAGAAGAACAAGGAUGAGAGUAACUGUUCAUCCCUUGACGGUAUCUAACCAGAAAGCCACGGCUAACUACGUGCCAGCAGCCGCGGUAAUACGUAGGUGGCAAGCGUUGUCCGGAUUUAUUGGGCGUAAAGCGAGCGCAGGCGGUUUCUUAAGUCUGAUGUGAAAGCCCCCGGCUCAACCGGGGAGGGUCAUUGGAAACUGGGAGACUUGAGUGCAGAAGAGGAGAGUGGAAUUCCAUGUGUAGCGGUGAAAUGCGUAGAUAUAUGGAGGAACACCAGUGGCGAAGGCGGCUCUCUGGUCUGUAACUGACGCUGAGGCUCGAAAGCGUGGGGAGCAAACAGGAUUAGAUACCCUGGUAGUCCACGCCGUAAACGAUGAGUGCUAAGUGUUGGAGGGUUUCCGCCCUUCAGUGCUGCAGCUAACGCAUUAAGCACUCCGCCUGGGGAGUACGACCGCAAGGUUGAAACUCAAAGGAAUUGACGGGGGCCCGCACAAGCGGUGGAGCAUGUGGUUUAAUUCGAAGCAACGCGAAGAACCUUACCAGGUCUUGACAUCCUUUGACCACUCUAGAGAUAGAGCUUCCCCUUCGGGGGCAAAGUGACAGGUGGUGCAUGGUUGUCGUCAGCUCGUGUCGUGAGAUGUUGGGUUAAGUCCCGCAACGAGCGCAACCCUUAUUGUUAGUUGCCAUCAUUUAGUUGGGCACUCUAGCAAGACUGCCGGUGACAAACCGGAGGAAGGUGGGGAUGACGUCAAAUCAUCAUGCCCCUUAUGACCUGGGCUACACACGUGCUACAAUGGGAAGUACAACGAGUCGCAAAGUCGCGAGGCUAAGCUAAUCUCUUAAAGCUUCUCUCAGUUCGGAUUGUAGGCUGCAACUCGCCUACAUGAAGCCGGAAUCGCUAGUAAUCGCGGAUCAGCACGCCGCGGUGAAUACGUUCCCGGGCCUUGUACACACCGCCCGUCACACCACGAGAGUUUGUAACACCCGAAGUCGGUGAGGUAACCUUUUGGAGCCAGCCGCCUAAGGUGGGAUAGAUGAUUGG
rnacentral:rRNA from 1 species